UUUUUGGGAAGGACCCCGAACCUAUUUUAUCUACCGCAUUUACUGUACACACAUUCGCAAGUGCCCUCUAUCUAGUGAGGCCAAACCAGUGCAAUACACAUGCCACGCAAGUGUUAUUGAGUUUCCACCAGCCUGGCGAGUGCACUGCACUGCAAAAAGCCUGCGAAAUAAUCAUCUCUCACAAGGAUUUUGACUCCAGGAACAGAGGCCUCAUCGCUGACUAAGGACUCAGCAAGGAUUCAUCGUGGGCCAGGACCAGCGGAGUACUUGAAGUUGUCGAGCCUGGUGAGAAUGAGACGGCUCUUUUGAAAAUCAACCGCCAUGACCGCACCUUCAUUUUCAAGGCCUUCACCGCGCUCAAGUUUUACAUGCACAGGAAAACCAGUGAACUGAGAUUUGACUGGUCUUUACUUUCAAAACUCGAACUUAGUUGCUCCAUGAGUUGCUUGCGGUUCACUCCAUCUUCAAUCUCAUAUCUGCCAUGUAGCACUUCUUUGUGGGAGGCUGUAUCUGGACAGAUGCUGUGUACAUAGAUGGUACCUAUUGAUCUUCUGCCAUGGGAACCAAGGUGCAGACAGGCAGCUCAGGAUGUCUGUGAGGGAUGAGGCACCGUCCUGAGGUCAUCAACACAUCUUCUCUGGCUUCUCUCAGGAUGAUUGAGUGCUCCAAACUGAAGAGACUGACCUUUGCAAACCAUGCUGACGCUGGAUUGGACCAGACCAGUGCCUAGACUAUCCUGAAUGACUGCCUGCUGAGGCUUUUCCCUGGCGGCAUCGAAGCCAUCCACACCAUAACCCAUGAUGCCCUGGCCUGGAUGUCUACCUUGGCCUACACGCCAUAUGAAAGAAGUGCCUAGAUUAGGCAGGACAGGCUGGAUGAUCAUCACCAUGCUGACUGAGAUGACCUUAAGGGUGAGUCAAACCAAGAAUACAACCUGCUCCAUCAAAACUCAUCACAAUGUGCACCAAAGAACCUCAGAUUUCAUUUGUAAAUGAAAUUUUGUCCGCACAAGACCAUAAUUCUCGAACUUGAUUCUUGUGAAUAAGAUUGUUGUCCUCAACAUUCUGAUUGAAACAAACUUUGAUACUUUUCCCCAACAGCAUCCUGGACAGUAUAUUGUAAUUUGGAGAAGAAAGAGAAAUGAAAACAAUUUCUCAGCAACGAUCAUGACAAUCAUUUCUGAAAGACAGAGGAAUUGAAAUUCUCCCUCAAAAGAAUUAUGUGUGAUUUGAUUUAUAUAAACAUAAGAAGAAAUUUCAUUUGUGUGGACUGUCAAAGACAAAUGCAAUAAAAUUGAAUUAUUUGCAUUAAGUGUCCAGUGACUUUCCUAAUUGUUUGCAAGCAGAUAAAACUGUCACAUUGCAAUUGUACAUUCAAGUUCUCUUUUGCUGCCAACCUCUUACAGUACAGUGCACAUGUUCUUAACUUGAUGGAGCAGGUUUUGCAUAUCAUAGGAGAGAUCUGAGUGAAAAACAACUAUUAAUUGAAGAGUUCUUCUCCAAACUAUUUAAAGGCAUAUAGGAUCAUUUGUAGUUGCCCCAAAAUUAACCUCCCAUACUAUUAUACAAAUGCUUACUUGGAUUAAAUUAAAGAUCGUACUGGUACUAAACACGCCAUGAAA
rnacentral:lncRNA from 1 species